rnacentral:tRNA from 1 species
GGGGAUAUAGCUCAGUUGGUAGAGUACUUGCCUCAUAUGCAAGCCCUGGGUUCAAUCCCUAGCACCA